rnacentral:rRNA from 1 species
UACGAAGGGGGCUAGCGUUGCUCGGAAUCACUGGGCGUAAAGGGUGCGUAGGCGGGUCUUUAAGUCAGGGGUGAAAUCCUGGAGCUCAACUCCAGAACUGCCUUUGAUACUGAAGAUCUUGAGUUCGGGAGAGGUGAGUGGAACUGCGAGUGUAGAGGUGAAAUUCGUAGAUAUUCGCAAGAACACCAGUGGCGAAGGCGGCUCUCUAGUACGGUACUGACGCUGAGACGCGAAAGCGUGGGGAGCGAACGAGG